UACGGAGGGUGCAAGCGUUAUCCGGAUUCACUGGGUUUAAAGGGUGCGUAGGUGGGUUGGUAAGUCAGUGGUGAAAUCCCCGAGCUUAACUUGGGAACUGCCAUUGAUACUAUCAGUCUUGAAUACCGUGGAGGUCAGCGGAAUAUGUCAUGUAGCGGUGAAAUGCUUAGAUAUGACAUAGAACACCAAAUUGCGAAGGCAGCUGGCUACUCGGAUAUUGACACUGAGGCACGAAAGCGUGGGG
rnacentral:rRNA from 1 species